GCCAACAAACAACAAAUGCUCUAAGAGGCAUUUUGACAAAUACUACAUAGAAAAAAAUCAUUCCAAUUAUUUACCUUCUCCAUGGCUAUAUGCUCAACUUUUUGAACCACCAAAACUGAAUAAGAACAUUCAGAAAAAGAGCCCAAAACCCAAAUUUAUAGUUUUCUACGCCUAUAAAAUAUACAUCCACGAAACAGCCUGCCCCAUUUUUUGUCAACAAUUCCAUACAGCCUAAGUUUCUCCAAAAAGGCAAAAUGUUCCUUCCCGAAUUUUUGGAUCAAUAAAAGAAUGACGUUUACAAGAGAAGACUGAAGAUUUUGGAUUAGAGUUAGGUUGAUUAAUUUUGAAGUGAUUCUGAGAAGAAGGCCUUCAAGUUUUAAUUCUCUCAACUGCUAAAAUAAGUGUAGC
rnacentral:lncRNA from 1 species